AUUUAUAUGAACCAGAAUAAUAUUUUUAUUUAUCAUGGGUGGCAUUGGCAAUCGCAAUUCCCAAGCAAAGCCAAUAAUAACCAAUAAGAAUCGUAAGACCAUCCUUAUUGAUGAGUUCUUAGUAGAAUUCUUAACAUUUUGGAUAGACAAA
rnacentral:sRNA from 1 species